rnacentral:sRNA from 1 species
AAGUAUCUGGUCUCAUCUGAUGCUAUAGGCCUAUAGCUGUAUUCUUUAUUUGAAUAUUGUUAUAUCUUUGCUCCUACGCUGGUGCGCACUAGUGCACUGUUCAAGAGAUGUGAUGGACACAAGUAGAGACAAGAUGGUUGACUUGUUGAUUCCGGCUAAGUAUACGGAGAAAUAGAACUAGAGAUAGGUUACAACCGCCUGAGUUGUAGAAGGGAUUAUUGCCAUUGUGGUCAGCAGAUAAUAAAAAUGGAGGCAGAAUGUGAACUGGGUUCAGAACAAGCU